rnacentral:rRNA from 1 species
AAUCAACGCUGGCGGCGUGCCUAACACAUGCAAGUCGCACGAGAAAGGGUCUUCGGAUCUGAGUAAAGUGGCGCACGGGUGAGUAACACGUGAAUUAUCUACCUUCGAGUGGGGAAUAACUUCGGGAAACCGAGGCUAAUACCGCAUAAUAUCUACGGAUCAAAGCAGUAAUGCGCUUGAAGAGGAGUUCGCGGCAGAUUAGUUAGGUGGCGGGGUAAUGGCCCACCCAGACGAUGAUCUGUAUCCGGCCUGAGCGGGCGCACGGACGCACUGGAGCUGAAACACGGUCCAGACUCAGACGGGAGGGAGCAGUGGGGAAUUUUGCGCAAUGGGGGAAACCCUGACGCAGCAACGCCGCGUGGAGGAUGAAGUCUCUUGGGACGUAAACUCCUUUCGAUAGGGAAGAUUAUGACGGUACCUAUAGAAGAAGCCCCGGCUAACUUCGUGCCAGCCGCCGCUGUAA